rfam:Beta vulgaris subsp. vulgaris Bvchr1.sca001.con0253.1, whole genome shotgun sequence.
UUGUGUUGUUAGCUUACGUGAAAUUCCUGGAGUGGAACAUUAUCACGUGUAGGGUGGUAAAGCAUGGUUGUUCUUAGUUGGUGAAGCUAUUUGUCUGGUUAAUUCCGUUAACUAACGAUACCUCACCCUGUCAACUAGCUAUGUGGAGCCUGGAGGUAGUCCGUCGCAUCUAGCUUCUUAGAGGGACUAUGGCCUUUUAGGUCACGCAAGUUUGAGGCAGGUGCAGGUCCGUGAUUCCCUUAGAUCAUUUAGGCGCGCCGCACGAGCUCUACACUGAUGUAUUCAACAAGUCCAUAACAUUGAUCGAUAGGCACGGGUACUCAUUGAAAUUUCAUCGUGAUAGGGAUAGAUCAUUACAAUUGUUGGUCUUCAACGAGGAA